UACAGAGGGUGCGAGCGUUUAAUCGGAAUUACUGGGCGUAAAGCGUGCGUAGACGGCUAUCUAAGUCGGGUGUGAAAGCCCCGGGCUCAACCUGGGAAUUGCAUUCGAGACUGAAUAGCUAGGGUACGGUAGAGGGAAGCGGAAUUUCCGGUGUAGCGGUGAAAUGCGUAGAUAUCGGAAGGAACAUCAGUGGCGAAAGCGGCUUCCUGGACCAGAACUGACGAUCAGGCUCGAAAGCGUG
rnacentral:rRNA from 1 species